rnacentral:tRNA from 1 species
GAGGGUAUAGCUCAGUGGUAGAGUGUGUGCUUAGCAUGCAUGAGGUCCUGGGUUCAAUCCCCAGCACCAUCA